GACGAACCGUGCGAACGUUAUUCGGAAUCACUGGGCUUAAAGGGAGCGCAGGCGGGCUGGUAAGUCAGUGGUGAAAGCCUUGAGCUUAACUCGAGAACUGCCAUUGAUACUAUCAGUCUUGAAUAUUGUUGAGGUUUGCGGAAUGGGUCAUGUAGCGGUGAAAUGCAUAGAUAUGACCCGGAACACCUAUUGCGAAGGCAGCAGGCUAAACAAAGAUUGACGCUGAGGCUCGAAAGCGUGGGGAUCAAACAGG
rnacentral:rRNA from 1 species